GGUCACAUUGCUCCGUGCAGAAAUUGUUAAUUUUCAUCUGAAACUUUCUUCUUUACGAGUCAAUUAAUUUCCAUUUUUUUUCUCGAUUUUCAACAUUUGCUUUCUGAAUUUUGAUUGCUGUGUGUUUGAUUAGUUGCUUAAUUUCACAUCCCCAGAUUCUAAGAAAAUGGGGUUGAAGGAAUUUUGUGGGGUUCUUUAGGGUUUUAGCUUCAAAAUUUAGGUGAAAAAGAGGGGAAAUAGAGAUGUUGGAUGCAAGAAGGCCUCAUUUUCUUGUGGGUUUUAACCCUUCCAUGAAUUCUGAAAAAUUGAAAAUUCCAUCAAAAUUCAUUAAACAUAUGGAAGGAAGGGAUUCUGGAACAACAGUUUUGGUGGGUCCCAGUGGAAAUGCUUGGCCUGUGGACUUAAUACAGCAAGAUGAUGGUUUAUUCUUCCACAAUGGAUGGGUUUCAUUUGUUAAAGAUCACUGCCUUGAAACAGGGGAUUCUUUGGUUUUCAGAUAUGAUGGUGAUUUGCAUUUCACUGUGCAAGUAUUUGACGAGAGUUCAUGUGAGAAGGAGGCUGCUUAUAACGCUGACUGCAGUUAAGGAGCAACUGACUUGUACAAUCUUGCUCUGAAAAACCGAGACAGAGGAAACUCUGUUUUAUUAGAUUGCCUUGUUGUGAAGGUGUACCGAAGAAAAUGAGAAGCACCGAGAUCCCUUCCGAAUGCACAAGUAGCCAGGAUACCCAUGGUCUUGCAUCUAGCAAGGAUGGGUACACUCCAGAAGAUGCAGUUUGCUCAUAUGCAGGAAGAAAUUAUGCUGCUAGUUUUCUGGAUGAAAUGGAGAAUGCUGGAGAUGCAUUAAACAGUAAAGUUACCAUUGCUGUGCCAGCUCAAGCAAAGAUAAUCUUUAGCAAUCCAGCAAAGGUGAAAACAGGCAAUGGUUCCUCCUAGAAAGAUAUGUGGUUGCCUGCACAGGAAGCAGAAAAGGUUGCCCGUUUGUUUACCUCAAGUUUCCCCUGUUUUACUAAAGUUAUGAAGAGGUUCAACAUCAGUGGUUCAUACACCCUGGUGAGUAGGUUUUCUGUUUUCUUUAAACUAACAUUUCUUGAAAUGUCUUGCUGCAACUACAAAAUCUUACAGUAGCCUUAGCUACUGUAAUGCAUUGCUUCAACAUAUUUUACUAUCAAUAAGUGCAUCAAAUGAGCUUUUAUGGAGGAAGACAACUUAUAUUUACAGGAUAAUCAACACACGGUUCCUUUAUCCCCUUUUACCUUUCAUGAUGAAUUGGCUAAACUCAAAAAAAUAGCAUUGAAAUCGAUUUUUAUUGACCAAUCAGCAUUUUUCAUAAAUCUUUUUAAACAUGAAUGUUGUCGUUGAGGAUUAUGUGCAACGUGGUAAAGUUGUUUUGGUUGUAAUAGUUUUGUUGCCAACAAUAUCUGAGCUGCCUAAUGAUGUUUCUGUUUGUUUUACUAACUGAACUAAAUAUUUUAUGUAUUUGACCCGAAAAAAGAACAAUGCACAAUUGAAAUAAAUAGUCUUGGCAUGAAA